rnacentral:lncRNA from 1 species
ACAUAUAUUCAAUAGAUUUCCAUGUUACCAAACCAUAAAUCAUGGUCAUUCUAAAUUGAGUAUCCACAUGGUCUAUCAUGAUCUACAUCAUACAAAUUGCCAAGAAACCAAAAAUUGGAUGUUUUGGAAGCCUCUUGCCCAUACAUCAAAUGGGCACAUACAUCGAAGGUUGUGAUGGUAUUACUGUGCCAAACUACAUCAUACGGCAGAUAAAUUAGUUGAUCAUGAUCUACACCUCAUGAAUCAAACAUGUACCAAUAUUCAAUAGAUUUGCAUGUUUCCAAACCAUAUAUCAUGCAAAACAUCAUAUCGAGCCAUUAAAACAAUAUAUUUUCGGACCACUUGAUGGACGCGCAAGAGACAUGAUUUUUGGUUUCAAAGUAGUUCUUGUGAUAUGGACCAUAAGCAAUAGAAC